GACGAACGCUGGCGGCGUGCUUAACACAUGCAAGUCGAACGGAAAGGCCCUGCUUGCAGGGUGCUCGAGUGGCGAACGGGUGAGUAACACGUGGGUGAUCUGCCCCUUAUUUUGGGAUAAGCCUGGGAAACUGGGUCUAAUACUGGAUAGGACCAUGCUGUAGGUGGUGUGGUGGAAAGAUUAGUUUCGGUAAGGGAUGAGCUCGCGGCCUAUCAGCUUGUUGGUGGGGUAAUGGCCUACCAAGGCGUCGACGGGUAGCCGGCCUGAGAGGGUGGACGGCCACAUUGGGACUGAGAUACGGCCCAGACUCCUACGGGAGGCAGCAGUGGGGAAUAUUGCACAAGGGGCGCAAGCCUGAUGCAGCGACGCCGCGUGGGGGAUGACGGCCUUCGGGUUGUAAACUCCUUUCAGCCAUGACGAAGCCCUUGUGGUGACGGUAGUGGUAGAAGAAGCACCGGCUAACUACGUG
rnacentral:rRNA from 1 species